CGCGUAGGUGGUUUUGUGUGUCUACCGUGAAAGCACACGGCUCAACCGUGUUUGGUCGGUAGAAACUGCAGGACUUGAGGCUGGGAGGGGCUGGCGGAAUUCCCCGUGUAGCGGUGAAAUGCGUAGAGAUGGGGGAGAACACUCGUGGCGAAGGCGGCCAGCUAGACCAGUUCUGACACUGAGGCGCGAUAGCGUGGGGAGCAAACA
rnacentral:rRNA from 1 species